UACGUAGGGUGCGAGCGUUGUCCGGAUUUACUGGGCGUAAAGGGCGCGUAGGCGGUCGUGACAAGUCACUUGUGAAAUCUCCGGGCUUAACUCGGAACGGUCAAGUGAUACUGUCGGACUAGAGUACAGAAGGGGCAACUGGAAUUCUCGGUGUAGCGGUGAAAUGCGUAGAUAUCGAGAGGAACACCUGCGGCGAAGGCGGGUUGCUGGGCUGAUACUGGCGCUGAGGCGCGAAAGCCAGGGGAGCGAACGGG
rnacentral:rRNA from 1 species